rnacentral:rRNA from 1 species
UACGUAGGGUGCGAGCGUUAAUCGGAAUUACUGGGCGUAAAGCGUGCGCAGGCGGUUCGUUGUGUCGGCGGUGAAAGCCCCGGGCUUAACCUGGGAAUUGCGCUCGAAACUACGUGGCUGGAGUGUGGCAGAGGAAGGUGGAAUUCCACGUGUAGCGGUGAAAUGCGUAGAGAUGUGGAGGAACACCAAUGGCGAAGGCAGCCUUCUGGGCCAACACUGACGCUCAUGCACGAAAGCGUGGGGAGCAAACAGG